UCAAAAAUUUUAAACUUUUGCAUUUAAAUUUUAUCUUAAUCCAACAUCGAGGUCGCAAACUCUUUUUCUUAUUUGUACUAAAAAAAAAAAUUACGCUGUUAUCCCUAAGGUAAUUGAUUCUUUUAAUCAUAAAUUAUGGAUCAUAAUUUCAUAAAUUAAUGUUAAAUUUUUAAAAAAAAGUUUUUUUAAUUUUUCUAUCACCCCAAUAAAAUAAUUAAUUAAUUUUAAAUUUAAAUUAUAUAUAAAAUUUUUAAAUUAAGUAACUAUAAAACUCUAUAGGGUCUUCUCGUCUUUUAUAAUUAUUUUAGCUUUUUAACUAAAAAAUUAAAUUUUAUUUUUAAAAAAGAGACAGUUCAUAUUUCAUCAAAUCAUUCAUACAAGUCUUCAAUUAAAAGACUAUUGAUUAUGCUACCUUUGUACAGUCAAUAUACUGCAGCCCUU
rnacentral:rRNA from 1 species